GAUGAACGCUGGCGGCGUGCCUAAUACAUGCAAGUCGAGCGAACAGACGAGGAGCUUGCUCCUCUGACGUUAGCGGCGGACGGGUGAGUAACACGUGGAUAACCUACCUAUAAGGCUGGGAUAACUUCGGGAAACCGGAGCUAAUACCGGAUAAUAUAUUGAACCGCAUGGUUCAAUAGUGAAAGACGGUUUUGCUGUCACUUAUAGAUGGAUCCGCGCCGCAUUAGCUAGUUGGUAAGGUAACGGCUUACCAAGGCAACGAUGCGUAGCCGACCUGAGAGGGUGAUCGGCCACACUGGAACUGAGACACGGUCCAGACUCCUACGGGAGGCAGCAGUAGGGAAUCUUCCGCAAUGGGCGAAAGCCUGACGGAGCAACGCCGCGUGAGUGAUGAAGGUCUUCGGAUCGUAAAACUCUGUUAUUAGGGAAGAACAAAUGUGUAAGUAACUAUGCACGUCUUGACGGUACCGAAUCAGAAAGCCACGGCUAACUACGU
rnacentral:rRNA from 1 species